GAGUUUGAUCUUGGCUCGGAACGAACGCUGGCGGCGUGGAUAAGACAUGCAAGUCGAACGAGAACUUUCGCUGUAGCAAUACAGUGAAAGUUUUAGUGGCGAACGGGUGCGUAACACGUGGGCAAUCUGCCGAGAAGUGGGGGAUAGCUCGCCGAAAGGCGAAUUAAUACCGCAUAUGAUCAGGGAAGACAUCUUUCCGACAUCAAAGCCGGGGCAACCUGGCGCUUCUUGAUGAGCCCGCGGCCUAUCAGCUAGUUGGUGAGGUAACGGCUCACCAAGGCUAUGACGGGUAGCUGGUCUGAGAGGACGACCAGUCACACUGGAACUGAGACACGGUCCAGACACCUACGGGUGGCAGCAGUCGAGAAUUUUUCUCAAUGGGGGAAACCCUGAAGGAGCGACGCCGCGUGGAGGAUGAAGGUCUUCGGGUUGUAAACCCCUGUCAUUUGGGAACAAGUGCCAUACGUUAACUGCGUGUGGCUUGAUAGUACCAGAAGAGGAAGAGACGGCUAACUCUGUGCCAGCAGCCGCGGUAAUACAGAGGUCUCAAGCGUUGUUCGGAUUCAUUGGGCGUAAAGGGUGCGUAGGUGGCGCCGUAAGUCAGGUGUGAAAUUUCGGAGCUUAACUCCGAAACUGCAUUUGAUACUGCGGUGCUUGAGGACUGGAGAGGAGACUGGAAUUUACGGUGUAGCAGUGAAAUGCGUAGAGAUCGUAAGGAAGACCAGUGGCGAA
rnacentral:rRNA from 1 species